rnacentral:rRNA from 1 species
AGUGAACGCUGGCGGUAGGCCUAACACAUGCAAGUCGAACGGCAGCACAGUAAGAGCUUGCUCUUACGGGUGGCGAGUGGCGGACGGGUGAGGAAUACAUCGGAAUCUACUUUUUCGUGGGGGAUAACGUAGGGAAACUUACGCUAAUACCGCAUACUACCUGCGGGUGAAAGCAGGGGAUCUUCGGACCUUGCGCGAUUGAAUGAGCCGAUGUCGGAUUAGCUAGUUGGCGGGGUAAAGGCCCACCAAGGCGACGAUCCGUAGCUGGUCUGAGAGGAUGAUCAGCCACACUGGAACUGAGACACGGUCCAGACUCCUACGGGAGGCAGCAGUGGGGAAUAUUGGACAAUGGGCGCAAGCCUGAUCCAGCCAUACCGCGUGGGUGAAGAAGGCCUUCGGGUUGUAAAGCCCUUUUGUUGGGAAAGAAAAGCAGCAGGUUAAUACCCCGCUGUUCUGACGGUACCCAAAGAAUAAGCACCGGCUAACUUCGUG